UCGCUGCGAUCUAUUGAAA
rnacentral:piRNA from 1 species